UACGUAGGGUGCAAGCGUUAAUCGGAAUUACUGGGCGUAAAGCGUGCGCAGGCGGUUAUGCAAGACAGAGGUGAAAUCCCCGGGCUCAACCUGGGAACUGCCUUUGUGACUGCAUAGCUAGAGUACGGUAGAGGGGGAUGGAAUUCCGCGUGUAGCAGUGAAAUGCGUAGAUAUGCGGAGGAACACCGAUGGCGAAGGCGGCUCACUGGCUCAUUACUGACGCUCAGGCGCGAUAGCGUGGGGAUCGAAACCAAGGAGUUAGUAAACCCAUCGAUGAUAGUCCAGACCCAAAGUCUACUGCACCGUA
rnacentral:rRNA from 1 species